GUAAUCUCUUAAUCAUUGUGCAAUCAAUAUACUUAUCAUUAAAUAAACACCUACAUAUUACUUUCAAAUAUACCUUAUAUCCUAGCCUAUGAGAACAACUAUUUUCUUUUAUAAAAGAAUCUAAAGGUAAACAGUCUCCUAUUUGUUUACGAUGACAAUAAAUAUUUUAACUUAAAUAUAAAAAUAUGUCUCCCCCUAUCUUUUGCAAUGCAUUAGGUGACUUUUCAUCCUUGAAUUCCAUGUACUAGAUGUAGCCUCUUCAGGCGAGAAAGUAGGUGGUGGUGACCUAAACACAGCUUCAAUUCUGUCAUCAUUACUAGUCUCAUGAACCCAAACAUCGUCCUUAUUUAAGACAUUUCAUUUUGGUUAGGGUCUUAUUAUCUAUUUCCAUGAGCUUUAAAUAUGGAUUCCUAUCCAUACCUGUCAAAAUAAUCCUAAAAUGCUAAAAAAUAGAAAUUAAUGCUUGACCAUAUGAAAUAGACUUUUGCUUUUGAUCAUAUGGCAUGAUCGUAUUCCUAAUCAUAAUAUACAGAAGAUUUAUUAGCCAUCUCCUAAUUAUGUAAUCGAUUAAGCACAUAUCCAUCAAAGUUACCUCAUCAAAAUACUUUUUCUUUGGAAAUAUAUUAUGUGCUAUAAUCCUAUGUAGCAAUCUAGUUCUUAACAUCAAAUCUUGACUUUAUAAUCCUUGGUUCCAUUGUUAUCCUCAUAUUAACAAAAAAAACAUUUUCAUUAACUUAGGAUAACUAAGUUUCUUUAAAUAAUAUAUUAUGCUCCAACCAUUUCCUAAAACAUAAUGUCUCUAUCAAAAGCAUUGAGAUCAUUUCCCAAGCCUCUUUUUAUAGCAACAAACCUAUUUGCAGAAGAAUUUUGAAAUCUUUGAAUAUCAUCACCCGGUAAGAGGUUCAAUCAUUUGCCCUUUUGCUCUUUGAUUCCACAUCUUUUGAGCUUUUCUUGCUUGCUAUUAUACUUGAAUCUUCAAGAAAUAAGCUAAAAAUAUGAUCAAGAGGAUGUAUUUUGGUGAGUUUUUGAGAGAGAGAGUCGGGUUUAGGGUUUGUUUUAUUUUCUAAUUUUGUUUGAGAAAUAACAAAUAUAUAUAUUGCCAAGCAAUCGACCAACUAAUUGUUUUGUGUUAAGCUCAUCUGGUCGGCCAAUUAAUUCCAAGUUGAGAAUUUCCUAAAAUUCUCUUCAUAUCCUUUCUUUGCACUAAAAAUAAAUCAUUUCCAUAUAAAAAUUAUAUCCAAAAGACAGAGAAAUCGAGAGCUAAAAAUUGAAAAUAUGAAUAAUAGCCUUGUUAUCAAUCAUCUGACUCAACCGAUCAGCCAGUUAAUCUAGUUAUAUGAGUCGAUCGAAUGGUUCACAUAAAAACCUAUAUUUUUAAAAUUUUAUCAUCCAAAUAUAUUUUAUGAUAAUGAUAAACCAGUUUGUCUAACCUUUAGACUCAAAUUCCUUGUAUUUUGCAAAAUUGAUCUUUACUUAGUGGCUUUGUGAAAUCUACUAAUUGGUGUUUUGUGCUUAUAAGCUUAAGUAUCAUAUCUCUUUUUACAAUGUGUUUCCUUGGGAAGUGAAGUCUUACUUUUAUAUGUUUUGUACGUGAGUGUUGGAUUGAAUUUUUAUAAAGACUUAUAGCACUAGUGUUAUCACACUUAAUGAGUAUACGAUCAAAAUUAAGUCAAUAGUCUUCUAGGAUUUAUUUCAUCCAUAAGCUUUUUACACAACAACUAUAUGCCACUAUAUAUUCUGCUUUAGUGAUUGAUAGGGCUACUAAGUUUUGCUUGUUAUUGGCCCAAGAUACUAGUAAGAAUCCUAAAAAAUGACAUGUUCCACUAGUAUUUUUUCUAUCAACCUUGCAUCUGACAAAGUAUGUAUUUGAAUAUCUGAUCAAGUUUAACUAGUUUCCUUUUAGAUACCAUAACUCUAAAUCUACAGUACCAUGCAAAAAGAAAAAAACUACGUUUUAUAACACUUACAUGUGAUUUUUUAGGCAAGCUUGAAAACAUGCACAUAAACAUACACAAAAUAUGAUAUCAUGUUUACUUGUAGUUAAUUAUAAAAGAGAUCUGAUCAUACCUUGAUAUCUAGUGAUGUUUACAUUCUUACCAUUUUUGAUCAUAUUAAGCUUAAUUGAUGUUCCCAUGAGUUAUCGACAACUUUAACUUGUUUAAUCAUAAAUCUUUGUAGAAGAUCUUUGAUGUACUUGCUUUGUUUAAUGAAGAUGGUAUUUGAUUUUCAAUACAAGGAAGAAGUUCAAUUUUUCCAUCUUGCUCAUUUCAAAUUCAUCUUGCAUGCAUUUUGUAAAAUUCUUACAAAGAGAUAAUUUUGUCAAUGUUAAAACCAUUAUAAAAAAGAAAGGAUUUUAAUCUAUCAUACCAUGCUCUUGGUGCUUCUUUUAAACUAUACAAGGUCCUUUUAUGUUUGAAAAUAUGAUUGAGAAAAUGAAAGUUUUCAAAACCUUCUGAUUGCUUAACAUACACUUCUUCCAUAAUAAAACCUUUUUUAAAAAAAUGUAUUUUUAACAUCCAUUUAAAAAAAGUGUAAAGUUAGCAUGAUAAGCAUAGACUAAAAGUAUCUUUAUUGAUUAUAGUCCAGCUACCAAUGUAAAUGAUUCUCUAUAAUCAAUACCUUCUUAUUGAUUAUAACAUGUGACAACUAGUCUAGUUUUGGUUCUAAUUAUUGUCCCAUAUUCAUCAACUUUGUUUUUAGAAACCCAUUUUGUUUCUAUUGUGGAUUGAUUGUUAGGUUUAAGGGGUAGUUCCUAAAUAUCAUUUCUUUUAAAUUACUUUAAUUCAUCUUGUAUGGCCAAAAUCCAUUUUUCAUCAUUUUCAGCUUUUAGAAAGGACUUGGAUUCUAUUUGAGAAACAAAUGCAAAAUGCCCUCUAAUGUUUCUAAGAGAAGCUCUAAUUCUAGUUCCUUUAAAUAGAUUGCCGAUAAUUAAUCCGGGAGGAUGGGAGCUUACAUACCUUAGCUCUUUUAGUGCUGGCAUAGAGGAGGUGCAAAACGGUUUCCCUUGCAAAAUCGUGACUAGUGGCUAAAAAAAAUGGCAUGAAAGGGGGAGCUGUGUGGUACACACCAGGUUGCGGAGGAUGCAAGGACGAGUGAAUUUAAAAGCUAGCAGGAACGGUUGCAGUUGUAGACGGGGAGGUACUAUUCUCAAAAUAUAAAUGAAAAGUUCAAUGUUAAUUAUAUUUCCAUGACGGGGCUGUGCGGUUUGUGUCAAGACCAAGGUUGCACGACGUCGUCUUUGUUUGAAAACGAGAGAAAAAUGUGAGUUAUGUCCAAUAGAUGGAUGACGUUGUUUUGUUUUUUUAACUGAAAGGCAAAAACAAACAAAGAAACAGCAAUGUAAUCCAGCGUGUGCUAAUUUUCAUUUUUUGAUCUAAUCCCCAUUCUUUAAUUUCUUCAAAUCCGGCAGAAUUUCUUCUA